AUGGUGACUGACAUGUGUCCCUUUGACCAGCAUUUGGUGCGAUGGGACUGGCUCUUGCUCCCUAAGCAUUUCAUUAAUGAGAAGCAUUCAAAGGAGCCUGGGCCUGGGGGCCUGGUACAGUACUCCCAGAUGGGACUCAGCAGGUCUGCGAACAAAAGUCAGACUCUCGCCUGCACCCUGAGCAGUGGCUUCCGUAUUGGCGGCUCCUACAUUUACUGGUUCCAGGAGCGGCCAAGGAGCCGUCCCCGGUAUCUCCUGGACUACUCCUCAGACUCAGUUAAGCACCAGGACUCAGGGGUCCCCAGCCACUUCUCUGGAUCCAAGGAUACCUCGGCCAGCGCAGGGCUUCUGCUCAUCUCCAGGCUGCAGCCUGAGGACGAGGCUGACUAUUUCUGA